rnacentral:ncRNA from 1 species
AUAUUAAAUGUGUCUCUCAUAUAAUCUUGGGGAUAUGGCCCAUAAGUUUCUACCCGAUCGCCGUAAAUGAUCGGACUAUGAGAGAAAGUACA